AGAGUUUGAUCCUGGCUCAGAUUGAACGCUGGCGGCAUGCUUUACACAUGCAAGUCGGACGGCAGCACAGAGAAGCUUGCUUCUUGGGUGGCGAGUGGCGAACGGGUGAGUAAUAUAUCGGAACGUACCGAGUAAUGGGGGAUAACUAAUCGAAAGAUUAGCUAAUACCGCAUAUUCUCUGAGGAGGAAAGCAGGGGACCUUCGGGCCUUGCGUUAUUCGAGCGGCCGAUAUCUGAUUAGCUAGUUGGUGGGGUAAAGGCCUACCAAGGCGACGAUCAGUAGCGGGUCUGAGAGGAUGAUCCGCCACACUGGGACUGAGACACGGCCCAGACUCCUACGGGAGGCAGCAGAAGGG
rnacentral:rRNA from 1 species